UACGAGGGGGGCAAAUGUUGUUCGGAAUCACUGGGCGUAAAGCGUGCGUAGGCGGUUAUUCAAGUCAGAGGUGAAAUCCCAGGGCUCAACCUUGGAACUGCCUUUGAAACUCCCAGUCUUGAGGUCGAGAGAGGUGAGUGGAAUUCCGAGUGUAGAGGUGAAAUUCGUAGAUAUUCGGAGGAACACCAGUGGCGAAGGCGGCUCACUGGCUCGAUACUGACGCUGAGGUGCGAAAGCGUGGGGAGCAAACAGG
rnacentral:rRNA from 1 species